rnacentral:rRNA from 1 species
CCCUUAGAUGCUCUGGGCCGCACGCGCGCUACACUGGUCGAUGCAACGAGUUUCUUUCCUUGGCCGACAGGCCUGGGCAAUCUUUGAACAUCGAUCGUGAUCGGGAUAGAUUCUUGUAAUUUUUGAUCUUAAACGAGGAAUUCCUAGUAAACGCAAGUCAUCAGCUUGCAUUGAUUACGUCCCUGCCCUUUGUACACACCGCCCGUCGCACCUACCGAUUGAAUGGUCCGGUGAAAUCUCCGGACUGGCGUGAGUCGAAGCAAUCUGACAAACACCGGAAAGUUGAUUAAACCUUACCAUUUAGAGGAAGGUGAAGUCGUAACA